UCUCCAAUUAUUUCUUUCUCUCUGCGAUCAGAGAUUAGGGUUCUAGGCCGUUGCUCGUCUCUUCGUUCUUUUCACCUGAUCUGGUAUGCAUGUCUGAUGAUAAAUUUCAUAUAUUGUUUAUGGAUUUCGGAUUUUUCUGUAGUAAUGUUCGUGUAAUCUUUCUUUGCCAUUUCUUUGAUUCAAGAAUUCUAUUAGAAUAUCGAAAACUGCAAUGCAUGUUAAAUUUUCUGCGCGCAUUGGGUUUCUUUUGCCCCCAAUGUUUAUUUAAAAAACCGUUUAAAAUUGAUGAAAAAAGGUUUGUUUUCUACGUUCUUUUCCAUCCGAGUCUCGAAACAAGACCCGGUUUCAGAAGGUAAUUAUGGAUGAUUAUAUUUGGAAUAUGUGAUUGAUGUGAUCAUGGCGUUCCGUUAAAUAUUUCCGCAAUUUGAGCCAUUUUAUCUGAGGGAAUUCUUUUUCUAUUAUUUAUCUGCAGUUAUAUCUGCAUUUGGUUUUUCUUUGGAUUAUCUAUGUUUUGAUCUCAUAGGUUAUUCGUGGAGAGUGGUAGAGGUAAAUAGGUCACCUGGAGAAGUAAUUCCUAUGGAAUCUCAUGAAAAUGUCAGAGAAUAGACCUACUCCCUCGUUUUUAUAAAUUGACAUUCCUGAAACUAGUUUCCAUCUGUAUUUAUGUCGCAUUUGGAGCCACUGACUCAAUUUCAUGAAUAAUCGCCAAUAAUUAUAUAGUUAUUUCUUAUGGGACGAGUCAAUAGGUCUGCAGGCGAAACAAUAGAUACCUGGGUUUAGUGUCCUUUUUUCCCCAAUAUUGAGUGUCCUCUUCAAAGAGAAUUUUAUGAAAUAAAUUUUUAGUGAUAAGGGCUAACCACACUUUAUGUUAUGAAGUUUAGUAGUAAAUUACACUUUAUGUUGUGACCUCUAUCAGUAAAUUGCACUUUAUGUGGAAUAUAACUCUAUGUAGUUAAAGCAUAAACUAGUGGGUUUACAGACACCAACAUAACCAGCACCAUUUAGUUCCACUUGCAAUAUUAUUUGCAUCAAGUUUGCCACCUACCCAAAAGGCCACCUACCCAAGAUGCCACAUAGCCUCAAUAAGCAGCAUGGACAAUUAUUUUCUUUUUUCUUUAUAAAUCAUAUUGAAUAUUUUGAUCUGAUUUAUAUUGAUUCCAUCAUGUGCUGACUGUAGCAGUUAACUUAAUGGAAAUAUCAAGCGGUUAAUGAUUUCAAUUUUGUCCAGGUUGGCUGGGUCAUGAUGUUUGAUGAUGGAAUUGAUAAAGAAGAGAAGGUGCCUUUCCUUGAUCACGGAUUUUUCGGAUGCAAAUGGUUCUUUUGUAAGCCAUACGAACAGUCCAAAUUGGUUAAUAUUUAGGGCAAAUUAGAUAUUCAUGAUGAAUUCUACAUGUUAUUUAUUGGGCUCCUCGUACAACAUGGUAAAAAAAAUAUGGUUUGCAAUCAAUAACAUUUAUAUUCUCUCAUGUCCUUUUUGCAACAAACUUUGAUCGGUUGGUGACUUCUACUUAUUACCUUGCCAUGUUUACACACAAAUCCAGCAACCUGUUUAUAUUAUUUCUGCUUUAG
rnacentral:lncRNA from 1 species